GGUUAAGUUAGAAAGGGCGCACGGUGGAUGCCUUGACACUAGGAGUCGAUGAAGGACGGGACUAACGCCGAUAUGCUUCGGGGAGCUGUAAGUAAGCUUUGAUCCGAAGAUUUCCGAAUGGGGAAACCCACCAUACGUAAUGGUAUGGUAUCCUUAUCUGAAUACAUAGGGUAAGGAAGACAGACCCAGGGAACUGAAACAUCUAAGUACCUGGAGGAAGAGAAAGCAAAUGCGAUUUCCUGAGUAGCGGCGAGCGAAACGGAACAUAGCCCAAACCAAGAGGCUUGCCUCUUGGGGUUGUAGGACAUUCUAUACGGAGUUACAAAGGAACGAGGUAGACGAAGCGACCUGGAAAGGUCCGUCGUAGAGGGUAACAACCCCGUAGUCGAAACUUCGUUCUCUCUUGAAUGUAUCCUGAGUACGGCGGAACACGUGAAAUUCCGUCGGAAUCUGGGAGGACCAUCUCCCAAGGCUAAAUACUCCCUAGUGAUCGAUAGUGAACCAGUACCGUGAGGGAAAGGUGAAAAGCACCCCGGAAGGGGAGUGAAAGAGAUCCUGAAACCGUGUGCCUACAAAUAGUCAGAGCCCGUUAACGGGUGAUGGCGUGCCUUUUGUAGAAUGAACCGGCGAGUUACGAUCCCGUGCGAGGUUAAGCUGAAGAGGCGGAGCCGCAGCGAAAGCGAGUCUGAAUAGGGCGUUUAGUACGUGGUCGUAGACCCGAAACCAGGUGAUCUACCCAUGUCCAGGGUGAAGUUCAGGUAACACUGAAUGGAGGCCCGAACCCACGCACGUUGAAAAGUGCGGGGAUGAGGUGUGGGUAGCGGAGAAAUUCCAAUCGAACCUGGAGAUAGCUGGUUCUCCCCGAAAUAGCUUUAGGGCUAGCCUUAAGUGUAAGAGUCUUGGAGGUAGAGCACUGAUUGGACUAGGGGUCCUCAUCGGAUUACCGAAUUCAGUCAAACUCCGAAUGCCAAUGACUUAUCCUUAGGAGUCAGACUGCGAGUGAUAAGAUCCGUAGUCAAAAGGGAAACAGCCCAGACCGCCAGCUAAGGUCCCAAAGUGUGUAUUAAGUGGAAAAGGAUGUGGAGUUGCUUAGACAACUAGGAUGUUGGCUUAGAAGCAGCCACCAUUUAAAGAGUGCGUAAUAGCUCACUAGUCGAGUGACUCUGCGCCGAAAAUGUACCGGGGCUAAAUACACCACCGAAGCUGCGGAUUGAUACCAAUGGUAUCAGUGGUAGGGGAGCGUUCUAAGGACAGUGAAGUCAGACCGGAAGGACUGGUGGAGUGCUUAGAAGUGAGAAUGCCGGUAUGAGUAGCGAAAGACGGGUGAGAAUCCCGUCCACCGAAUGCCUAAGGUUUCCUGAGGAAGGCUCGUCCGCUCAGGGUUAGUCAGGACCUAAGCCGAGGCCGACAGGCGUAGGCGAUGGACAACAGGUUGAUAUUCCUGUACCACCUCUUUAUCGUUUGAGCAAUGGAGGGACGCAGAAGGAUAGAAGAAGCGUGCGAUUGGUUGUGCACGUCCAAGCAGUUAGGCUGAUAAGUAGGCAAAUCCGCUUAUCGUGAAGGCUGAGCUGUGAUGGGAAGCUCCUUAUGGAGCGAAGUCUUUGAUUCCCCGCUGCCAAGAAAAGCUUCUAGCGAGAUAAAAGGUGCCUGUACCGCAAACCGACACAGGUAGGCGAGGAGAGAAUCCUAAGGUGUGCGAGAGAACUCUGGUUAAGGAACUCGGCAAAAUGACCCCGUAACUUCGGGAGAAGGGGUGCUUUCUUAACGGAAAGCCGCAGUGAAUAGGCCCAAGCGACUGUUUAGCAAAAACACAGCUCUCUGCGAAGCCGUAAGGCGAAGUAUAGGGGUGACACCUGCCCGGUGCUGGAAGGUUAAGGAGAGGGGUUAGCGUAAGCGAAGCUCUGAACUGAAGCCCCAGUAAACGGCGGCCGUAACUAUAACGGUCCUAAGGUAGCGAAAUUCCUUGUCGGGUAAGUUCCGACCCGCACGAAAGGUGUAACGAUUUGGGCACUGUCUCAACCAGAGACUCGGUGAAAUUAUAGUACCUGUGAAGAUGCAGGUUACCCGCGACAGGACGGAAAGACCCCGUGGAGCUUUACUGUAGCCUGAUAUUGAAUUUUGGUACAGUUUGUACAGGAUAGGCGGGAGCCUUUGAAACCGGAGCGCUAGCUUCGGUGGAGGCGCUGGUGGGAUACCGCCCUGACUGUAUUGAAAUUCUAACCUACGGGUCUUAUCGACCCGGGAGACAGUGUCAGGUGGGCAGUUUGACUGGGGCGGUCGCCUCCUAAAGUGUAACGGAGGCGCCCAAAGGUUCCCUCAGAAUGGUUGGAAAUCAUUCGUAGAGUGCAAAGGCAUAAGGGAGCUUGACUGCGAGACCUACAAGUCGAGCAGGGACGAAAGUCGGGCUUAGUGAUCCGGUGGUUCCGCAUGGAAGGGCCAUCGCUCAACGGAUAAAAGCUACCCCGGGGAUAACAGGCUUAUCUCCCCAAGAGUCCACAUCGACGGGGAGGUUUGGCACCUCGAUGUCGGCUCAUCGCAUCCUGGGGCUGUAGUCGGUCCCAAGGGUUGGGCUGUUCGCCCAUUAAAGCGGUACGCGAGCUGGGUUCAGAACGUCGUGAGACAGUUCGGUCCCUAUCCGUCGUGGGCGUAGGAAAUUUGAGAGGAGCUGUCCUUAGUACGAGAGGACCGGGAUGGACGCACCGCUGGUGUACCAGUUGUUCUGCCAAGGGCAUAGCUGGGUAGCUAUGUGCGGAAGGGAUAAGUGCUGAAAGCAUCUAAGCAUGAAGCCCCCCUCAAGAUGAGAUUUCCCAUAGCGUAAGCUAGUAAGAUCCCUGAAAGAUGAUCAGGUUGAUAGGUUCGAGGUGGAAGCAUGGUGACAUGUGGAGCUGACGAAUACUAAUAGAUCGAGGACUUAACCAU
rnacentral:rRNA from 1 species